UACGUAGGGUGCAAGCGUUGUCCGGAAUUAUUGGGCGUAAAGAGCUCGUAGGCGGUUUGUCGCGUCGAAUGUGAAAACCCGGGGCUCAACCCCGGGCCUGCAUUCGAUACGGGCAGACUAGAGUUCGGUAGGGGAGUCUGGAAUUCCUGGUGUAGCGGUGAAAUGCGCAGAUAUCAGGAGGAACACCGGUGGCGAAGGCGGCCCACUGGAUCGGUACUGACGCUGAGGUGCGAAAGCGUGGGGAGCAAACAGG
rnacentral:rRNA from 1 species